rnacentral:rRNA from 1 species
GACGAACCGUGCAAACGUUAUUCGGAAUCACUGGGCUUAAAGCGUGCGUAGGCGGCUAAGAAAGUUGGGUGUGAAAUCCCUCGGCUCAACCGAGGAAUUGCGCUCAAAACUACUUAGCUUGAGGGAGUUAGAGGUGAGCGGAACUAAUGGUGGAGCGGUGAAAUGCGUUGAUAUCAUUAGGAACACCGGUGGCGAAAGCGGCUCACUGGGACUCUUCUGACGCUGAGGCACGAAAGCUAGGGUAGCGAACGGG